ACGUCACACCAGGAACUUGGAACUUUUUCACCAGCUGUCUAGCUUAUCGUGAAAGCUGCCGACUAGAAUCAACAGUAACCAGCUUCGAAUACGUUGUGUUUUAUGAGGAUCCACAUGGUCAUCUGCUGAUAUAUAGAUUGAGACAACAAGUGUUGUGAAGCUGAUAUUAAAAAUGAUAUUUCAAUUAAUCUUGAGGUUGGUCGUACCAUCGAUGUGGGCUUUUUUGGUGAUGGCUGAAACGACGGAACCCACAUCUGCAGUUGUAUCAACAGUGACUAUUACCAGCUCCAACAAGCAACCUGUUACGAAUUUUACCGCACCUAACUCCACUUCUCAUCGUGAAAUUUUUAACACCGGCAUGAACGCGGAUAGUUCGAUGAUUCAACGGGCCUUAUACGUCCUCAUUGGGAUCAGCGUGAUAGGAGUGCUGUAUUUCCUUGUCAGAGCUGUAAGGCUGAAGAAGCCAACCCAGAGGAAGAAAUAUGGCUUGCUGUCUAAUUAUGAUGACAAUGUGGAGAUGGCUGAUAUGGAAAGCGAUGAAGACGAUACAGUGUAUGACGCCCGGACCCUGAGAAGAUGAGUCCUGACUUUUUGCGGUGUACCUGCUGUGGUGCACAUCGGACGAAAUUAAACAUUCCUUUGGCUUAACUUUCAACGUAGGUUGCAAAUCUAUGUUUUCCAUAUUCUCAUGGACUUGAAAUUAAGAAAACUGGCUCUGAAUCUGCGUUGUCUUGAGAAGAACAUUGGAGAACCUGCUUGUACUGGGAGAUUUUGUGAUUGUAUCCAAAUAAACUAACAUAAAUAGGAUUAGUAAAAGGACCAAACCAGCUGGACAGAUUUAUAUUGCCAAAGAUACUUUGGAGAAAGCAAAAGUAUAAUUAUUUUUCUAAUCUACGUAAACGUACAUUUUUAUGAAAUGGACCAUCUGUGUCAAUCAUUCCCGUUGCCAUGACGAGCUCCAUGAAUGUUGUAACAAGUUCUGUCUUCUAGAUUACUUAUUCAGUUACCUUAAUGGAUGUGGCCUUUCCCAGGUUUCUUUCUCUAGGUCACCUGAAAUUAUCCAUAGUAAUAUCAUGCUGUUCAAUGCUAUUUUACGAACAGCGAUAUAAUUGUGCAUGAACUACUGUAAACUGAACACCAAGAAUACUAUUUUGUGGGCCAGCCAAUGUGAUACCACCUGCUUGAACUAUACACAAGCAGACAGUAUGUACUACAUCUGGUAAAAGAAGAUGGGGUGAGCAAUAAACUGGGAAAUGCACAUACUAAUUGUGAUAGUCUUGGAGCCAAAAACUUAUUGACAAUCUUUGACAGUAAAGAAUGUGCCCCAUACUGUUAAUUUCUUAAACCACAAGCUUUUCCUUGUUUUUUUCUCUCUCUUUUUUUUUUAACCAAACAGUUUAAUUACUUAUUUCGCUACAGCCGUCACGUUAAUGCUAUUAAUCUAAUUUAAACUUACAGUAAGGUUAAUUUUGAGUGUUCUUGUCAAAUAUUCUAGCUCACAAAUCCUGUUGAAAUGUAUUUACAUAUCUUGUAAUUCCCUUUAGUCCAAGGACAAUGUUGUGCCUUGGUUGGAGACUCAUUAAGGUUAUUAUUAUUAUUAUUUUGUUUGUUAUUGCUGCUGUGGCCGAGCCCUACAUUUUUCUGAAUUUUAGUUGUUGCAAACAAAUAUAAGCUUUAAUCUUUUGAUUGACUUAUUCUGUCUGUUUUAUUUAAACUUUUGGUCAAUUAUUAAUUGAGGCUAUUUAUUUUCUAUAUACCAUGUUUUGUCUACAUUUUUGCCUUGGUUAAGCCUGUUAUCAUUGUGACUUAAAUUUUUUAUUUUGAUGGUGGUUUAUAUCUAGAUCCAACAUUUUCGAAACUGUUUAAUUUUGUGAAAUGAAGUACGCUGAUCAGAAACAUUUUAUAAAGUUUGUCUGGAAUGUGUAUGCUAUUACAGUUUACCCAUUAAUUCACAGAGUCCAAGAGAAUGACCUAACAGCUCUUCCUCUAUAUCUUGAAACAUGGCUAAUUGUUAUUAAUUGUCUCAGGAGGCUAACUGUAUUGAUGAGAGAACGGGUUUUUCCUGUGGCGGUAAAUCAAAUGAGACAUGCCAAGACAUAUUACUUCAUCAACCCUCUCCUUAUUGGACCCACUCCUGUGGAGAAUAUGCAAAUCUCCUCCCACGAGUCUGUUCUGUAUUUACGUCUAUUGAAAAUUGAUACUGCCCUUUAAAUAAUGUUAAACUCUGUCUCUGACAUUUUGCUUUCGUUCAGUCAAGACUGCAGUAACAGCAGCAUUAAUCCUUGGACCUGCGACUGGUUGAAUCAAGGACAUGCAGGGCCCCACAGUUUGGUUUUAGGUCCAUUCAGUCUCGGCCUAAAGCAAGAUGCAAAAUACACUUCCAUGUUUGUUUGUAUUUGAACAUGAAGCAAAAUUUAGACUGAUGUUGAUAGUAAUCUGGAUCUGCCAUCAGUGUCUGUACCGUAGUACCACUUUCUGCGUUUCCUUGAAAGCUUUAAAACAUAGUGUGGAUGUAAUCUGUAAUAGGGCAAGUCAAUUGCUCUGGUCUGGGGGUUGGGGACCCUAACUCCCAACUAGUAUUAUACUUUCAAAAUGAUUUAUUAUGCAAAUGAAUGAGUAUUCCACCCUGACUCUCAUAGGGUAGAAUGUUGUUCUUCCACUUUGCACAUUCCAUGCAUGUCAGUUGGAUGUCAACCUGCCAAGAGGAAAUGGUUUUAUGCUCCAAUGUCAUUCAUUAAUAUUCGAGUAGGAGGUCAUCAAUAUUUUGGAGACUAUAGAUAGGAAUCAUGUUACAUCUGAGAAUCACUUCUGUAAACAUUUGAACCUGAGGUUGGUUUCAGAAUGCAAGUUGUUCUUUUUUCCACAUACACUCUUGAUUUGUUAUGACGGAUGUUUAUUCAUUGAUUGCGAUGGUUUAAAGAGUUGUCUGAGCUUUUUGAAAUCACCUGUCCACUAUGAGCUUUUCUUCUUCUUCCCCCCCUCCCCCAUAAUCACCAUGUGUCUUUCACCACGUUUUGCCUUUUGUAUAUAAACUGUAUGUUUCAGCAAUACAAAUGUAGUUGUUGUGUAUUAUACAGGAGACUGUCGAUCACGAUGCACUUAACUACAGAUCCAUUAUAAUUUAUUUCAUUCCUAAUUCAUACUCACUCAUAAAAGGAAUCUAGUCUGAAUAGGUGUAAGCACUAGCAUGAGAGGAAUGCAAGGGGCCACACAAUAAACCUAUCAGAAGCUGUAGGUAGGUUGUGAGGGUCAAUUCGAUGUAUUAUUAUUUUUUGUUGUUGUGAUUUGACUGCUGAAAUGAAGGCUUGUGAGUGGUGAGUGAAUGUUGUGUGUUGAACUUCUGUGUUUGGUGGUUGGACCUAGAUUCACGGACCAGCUGCAAUAGCUUCCUUUGUUUUCAUUCUGUUUUCAAAUAAAACAAAUAUGUCGUAA